rnacentral:rRNA from 1 species
UUAAAUUGAAGAGUUUGAUCAUGGCUCAGAUUGAACGCUGGCGGCAGGCCUAACACAUGCAAGUCGAGCGGAAACGACACUAACAAUCCU